rnacentral:rRNA from 1 species
UUAAGUGACUAAGCGUACAAGGUGGAUGCCUUGGCAAUCAGAGGCGAUGAAGGACGUGCUAAUCUGCGAAAAGCUUGGAUGAGUCGAUAAGAGGCGUUUAAUCCAAGAUGUCCGAAUGGGGAAACCCAGUAGAUGAAGAAUCUACUAUCACUUACUGAAUCCAUAGGUAAGUGAGGCAAACCGGGAGAACUGAAACAUCUAAGUACCCCGAGGAAAAGAAAUCAACCGAGAUUUCGUUAGUAGCGGCGAGCGAACGCGAAGGAGCCUGUUAGUGAUAAUGACAGAGACAGAGGAACAAGCUGGGAAGCUUGGCGAUACAGGGUGAUAGCCCCGUACUCGAAGUCCAGGUCAUGGUACUAAGCUAACGACAAGUAGGGCGGGACACGUGAUAUCCUGUUUGAAGAUGGGGGGACCAUCCUCCAAGGCUAAAUACUCCUGAUUGACCGAUAGUGAACCAGUACUGUGAAGGAAAGGCGAAAAGAACCCCGGUGAGGGGAGUGAAAUAGAACCUGAAACCUUGUACGUACAAGCAGUGGGAGCCCUUUUGGGGUGACUGCGUACCUUUUGUAUAAUGGGUCAGCGACUUAUAUUUUGUAGCGAGGUUAACCGAAUAGGGGAGCCGAAGGGAAACCGAGUCUUAACUGGGCGUCUAGUUGCAAGGUAUAGACCCGAAACCCGGUGAUCUAGCCAUGGGCAGGUUGAAGGUUGGGUAACACUAACUGGAGGACCGAACCGACUAAUGUUGAAAAAUUAGCGGAUGACUUGUGGCUGGGGGUGAAAGGCCAAUCAAACCGGGAGAUAGCUGGUUCUCCCCGAAAUCUAUUUAGGUAGAGCCUUGAGCGGACACCUUCGGGGGUAGAGCACUGUUUCGGCUAGGGGUCCAUCCCGGAUUACCAACCCGAUGCAAACUACGAAUACCGAAGAGUGAUACUCAGGAGACACACGGCGGGUGCUAACGUCCGUCGUGAAGAGGGAAACAACCCAGACCGCCAGCUAAGGUCCCAAAGUCUAUAUUAAGUGGGAAACGAAGUGGGAAGGCUUAGACAGCUAGGAUGUUGGCUUAGAAGCAGCCAUCAUUUAAAGAAAGCGUAAUAGCUCACUAGUCGAGUCGGCCUGCGCGGAAGAUGUAACGGGGCUCAAAUAUAGCACCGAAGCUGCGGCAUCAGACGAAAGUCUGUUGGGUAGGGGAGCGUUCUGUAAGCGGAUGAAGGUGAAUCGAGAGGUUUGCUGGACGUAUCAGAAGUGCGAAUGCUGACAUAAGUAACGAUAAAACGGGUGAAAAACCCGUUCGCCGGAAGACCAAGGGUUCCUGUCCAACGUUAAUCGGGGCAGGGUGAGUCGGCCCCUAAGGCGAGGCUGAAAAGCGUAGUCGAUGGGAAACGGGUUAAUAUUCCCGUACUUGGAUAAACUGCGAUGUGGGGACGGAGCAGGUUAGGUUAUCGCACUGUUGGAUAUGUGCGUUUAAGUUUGUAGGUGGGAAGUUUAGGCAAAUCCGGACUUCUAUUAAACACUGAGAGAUGAUGACGAGGCUCUACGGAGCUGAAGUAACCGAUACCACACUUCCAGGAAAAGCCACUAAGCUUCAGGUUUAUCUAAACCGUACUGAAAACCGACACAGGUGGUCAGGUAGAGAAUACUCAGGCGCUUGAGAGAACUCGGGUGAAGGAACUAGGCAAAAUAGCACCGUAACUUCGGGAGAAGGUGCGCCGGCGUAGAUUGUAGUCCCUUGCGGAUGAAGGUUGAACCGGUCGAAGAUACCAGCUGGCUGCAACUGUUUAUUAAAAACACAGCACUCUGCAAACACGAAAGUGGACGUAUAGGGUGUGAUGCCUGCCCGGUGCUGGAAGGUUAAUUGAUGGUGUAAUCGAAAGAGAAGCUCCUGAUCGAAGCCCCAGUAAACGGCGGCCGUAACUAUAACGGUCCUAAGGUAGCGAAAUUCCUUGUCGGGUAAGUUCCGAC